UUAUUUCAAAGCUGAUGAAGAUAAUAAUUUGACUGAACAUCAAUGAGGUGUUAAUGAACGUUCAAAUGAGCUUGUCUUUAUGUACCUGAUUGAACACAAUUACUGGUUGUUGGAGCCAAAAUGGUCUUGAAAUAAACUUCAGUACAAACAUCAAUCAUUGAAGAGCUGGAAACUUUAGCAAUAUAUGGGAAAAAAAAAAAAUAUGAAUGAACUUCAAUGAUGAAGUCAAGGAAAAGGAAGAGUUUAAAGAAAGUGUUACUUAAACAAUUGUAACAACUGAGACUGCUUGUGUAUUAAGAGCAGUGUGUUGUCAGCAAUAUAAUAGAAAAGAAAACAAUACAAGGAUGAUGAUGCUGAAGUUGUAAGAUGGUAUAAAAGUCGUGAAAAAUAGUGAAAAAAAGAGCUUGUAUGUGUGAAUAUACAGCCAGCUGGUGAUGUAAUAAUUAUGGACUUCCUG